rnacentral:rRNA from 1 species
GGUUUGAUCAUGGCUCAGAUUGAACGCUGGCGGCAGGCCUAACACAUGCAAGUCGAACGGUAGCACAGAGAGCUUGCUCUCGGGUGACGAGUGGCGGACGGGUGAGUAAUGUCUGGGAAACUGCCUGAUGGAGGGGGAUAACUACUGGAAACGGUAGCUAAUACCGCAUAACGUCGCAAGACCAAAGAGGGGGACCUUCGGGCCUCUUGCCAUCAGAUGUGCCCAGAUGGGAUUAGCUAGUAGGUGGGGUAAUGGCUCACCUAGGCGACGAUCCCUAGCUGGUCUGAGAGGAUGACCAGCCACACUGGAACUGAGACACGGUCCAGACUCCUACGGGAGGCAGCAGUGGGGAAUAUUGCACAAUGGGCGCAAGCCUGAUGCAGCCAUGCCGCGUGUAUGAAGAAGGCCUUCGGGUUGUAAAGUACUUUCAGCGGGGAGGAAGGUGUUGUGGUUAAUAACCACAGCAAUUGACGUUACCCGCAGAAGAAGCACCGGCUAACUCCGUGCCAGCAGCCGCGGUAAUACGGAGGGUGCAAGCGUUAAUCGGAAUUACUGGGCGUAAAGCGCACGCAGGCGGUCUGUCAAGUCGGAUGUGAAAUCCCCGGGCUCAACCUGGGAACUGCAUUCGAAACUGGCAGGCUAGAGUCUUGUAGAGGGGGGUAGAAUUCCAGGUGUAGCGGUGAAAUGCGUAGAGAUCUGGAGGAAUACCGGUGGCGAAUGCGGCCCCCUGGACAAAGACUGACGCUCAUGUGCGAAAGCGUGGGGAGCAAACAGGAU